GGAUGUGAGGGUGAUCUGGCUGCGACAUCUGUCACCCCAUGGAUCGCCAGGGUUGAUUCGGCUGAUCUGCCUGGCUAGGCGGGUGUCCCCUUCCUCCCUCACCGCUCCAUGUGCAUCCCUCCCGAAGCUGCGCGCUUGGUCGAAAAGGACGACCUUCCCUGCUAGAGGAGGACCGGUCUUCGGUCAAGGGUAUACGAGUAGCUGCGCUCCCCUGCUAGAGCCUCCAAACAAGCUCUCAGGAAUUUAACAACCUUACCUUUGAACAUUAAUUCCACUUGUAUUCUUCAGCAUUUCUUUUAUCUCAAAUAAAUCCUUAUGUACUUUGUUAUCAUUA
rnacentral:snRNA from 1 species